rnacentral:rRNA from 1 species
UCCAGACUCCUACGGGAGGCAGCAGUGGGGAAUAUUGCACAAUGGCGGAAACCCUGAUGCAGCGACGCCGCGUGAGUGAUGAAGGCCCUUGGGUCGUAAAACUCUGUCCUAAGGGAAGAUAAUGACGGUACCUUAGGAGGAAGCCCCGGCUAACUACGUGCCA